rnacentral:misc_RNA from 1 species
GAUGAAGAACGCAGCAAAAUGCGAUACUUGGUGUGAAUUGCAGAAUCCCAUGAACCAUCGAGUUUUUGAACGCAAGUUGCGCCCGAAGCCUUUUGGCCGAGGGCACGUCUGCCUGGGCGUCACGCAUCGCGUCGCCCCCCACAAUUCUCCGUAAAAGGAACAUGUGUUUUGGGGGCGGAUAUUGGUCUCCCGUGCUCAUGGCGUGGUUGGCCGAAAUAGGAGUCCUUUCGAUGGACGCACGAACUAGUGGUGGUCGUAAAAACCCUCGUCUUUUGUUUCGUGCUGUUGCUCGCAAGGUAAACUCUUUAAAAACCCCAAUGUGUCGUCUCUUGACGACGCUUCGACCGCGACCCCAGGUCAGGCGGGACUACCCGCUGAGUUUAAGCAUAUCAAUAAGCGGAGGA